rnacentral:rRNA from 1 species
UACAGAGGGUGCGAGCGUUAAUCGGAAUUACUGGGCGUAAAGAGUGCGUAGGCGGUUUAAUAAGUUAGGUGUGAAAUCCCUGGGCUCAACCUAGGAACUGCAUCUAAUACUGUUAGGCUAGAGUACAGUAGAGGAAAGUGGAAUUUCCGGUGUAGCGGUGAAAUGCGUAGAGAUCGGAAGGAACAUCAGUGGCGAAGGCGGCUUUCUGGACUGAUACUGACACUGAGGCACGAAAGCGUGGGUAGCAAACAGG